GCCUGGAGAAGCCCAGGCUGGGUCCCCUCUGUCCACAGGGAAAACAAGAAGAAGGGAGCAUCUGUUCACGCCAGGAGGGCCCUGCGACUUCUUGAGGAUUGUUCCAGGAAACACACUUAAGACACCUGGGCUCAAGGACACUGACCUGUCCAGACGUGAACACGAUCCAGGUGGGCCAAUGACUCAGUGCCCCCAUCCCAGCCCCAUCACACCAGGAAGACGAGACAGAUGGACCACUGGGCCCAGCGUAAUCAGGGCUUGGAAUGGGGGCCUGAUUACCUGUCCAUGGAACAUUGAUUUAUAGCUCACAACCCUCUGAUGGUGAGAUCGUUAUAUUAAGUGUCAAUUUGAUUGGAUUGAAGGAUGUAAAGUAUUGUCUCUGGAUGUGUCUGCGAGCGUGUUGCCAAAGGAGAUUAACAUUUGAGUCAGUGGACUGGGAGAAGCAGACCCACCCUCAGUCUGGGUGGGCACCAUCGAAUCAGCUGCCAGCAUGGCUAGGAUAAAAGCAGGAAGAGGAGCGUGGAAGGAGUAGACUGACGGAGUCUCCUGGCCUCCACCUUUCUCCUGUGCUAAAUGCUUCCUGCCCUCGAACAUCGGACUCCAAGUUCUUCAGCUUUUGGACUCUUGAACCAGCGGUUUGCCAGGGACUCUCGGGCCACAGACUGGAGGCUGCACUGUCGGCUUCCCUACUUUUGAGUUUUGGGACUCAGACUGGCUCUGUUGUUCCUCAGCUUGCAGAUGGCCUGUUGUGGGACUUCACCUUGCGAUUAUGUGAAUCAAUUCUCCUGAUAAACUCCCCUUCA
rnacentral:lncRNA from 1 species